rnacentral:rRNA from 1 species
AAAUUGAAGAGUUUGAUCAUGGCUCAGAUUGAACGCUGGCGGCAGGCCUAACACAUGCAAGUCGAACGGUAACAGGAAGCAGCUUGCUGCUUCGCUGACGAGUGGCGGACGGGUGAGUAAUGUCUGGGAAACUGCCUGAUGGAGGGGGAUAACUACUGGAAACGGUGGCUAAUACCGCAUAACGUCGCAAGACCAAAGAGGGGGACCUUCGGGCCUCUUGCCAUCAGAUGUGCCCAGAUGGGAUUAGCUUGUUGGUGAGGUAACGGCUCACCAAGGCGACGAUCCCUAGCUGGUCUGAGAGGAUGACCAGCCACACUGGAACUGAGACACGGUCCAGACUCCUACGGGAGGCAGCAGUGGGGAAUAUUGCACAAUGGGCGCAAGCCUGAUGCAGCCAUGCCGCGUGUAUGAAGAAGGCCUUCGGGUUGUAAAGUACUUUCAGCGGGGAGGAAGGUGUUGCGGUUAAUAACCGCAGCAAUUGACGUUACCCGCAGAAGAAGCACCGGCUAACUCCGUGCCAGCAGCCGCGGUAAUACGGAGGGUGCAAGCGUUAAUCGGAAUUACUGGGCGUAAAGCGCACGCAGGCGGUCUGUCAAGUCGGAUGUGAAAUCCCCGGGCUCAACCUGGGAACUGCAUUCGAAACUGGCAGGCUU